rnacentral:rRNA from 1 species
AGAGUUUGAUCCUGGCUCAGAACGAACGCUGGCGGCGUGGCUAAAACAUGCAAGUCGCACGAGAAAGGCCCGCAAGGGCCGAGUACAGUGGCGAAAGGGUGAGGAAUACAUGGGUAACGUACCCUUGAUACAGGGAUAGCCCGGGGAAACCCGGGGUAAUACCUGAUAAGACCACAGUCCCGCAGGGGACAGAGGUCAAAGGGCGGGGAUCCUUCGGGACCUGCCGAUCUUGGAGCGGCCCAUGUCCUAUCAGCUAGUUGGCGAGGUAACGGCUCACCAAGGCUUCGACGGGUACCGGGACUGAGACGUUGGCCCGGCACAUUGGCACUGAGACACUGGCCAGACUCCUACGGGAGGCUGCAGUAACGGAUAUUGGGCAAUGGGCGAAAGCCUGACCCAGCGACGCCGCGUGUGGGACGAAGUCCUUCGGGAUGUAAACCACUGUCAGGGGCUACCAAGCAAAGGGAGAUAAUAUUUCCCCGCGUUGAGGAGCCCCAGAGGAAGCCACGGCUAACUUCGUGCCAGCAGCCGCGGUAAGACGAAGGUGGCGAGCGUUGUUCGGAAUCACUGGGCUUAAAGAGCACGUAGGCGGGCCAUUUUGCGCCGUGUGAAAUCCCUUGGCUCAACCGAGGAACUGCAUGGCGAACGGAUGGUCUUGAGGCAGGUAAGGGUGCGGAGAACUCUUGGUGGAGCGGUGAAAUGCGUAGAUAUCAAGAGGAAUGCCGGAGACGAAGGUGCUGCACUGGGCCUGUCCUGACGCUGAGGUGCGAAAGCCAGGGGAGCAAACGGGAUUAGAUACCCCGGUAGUCCUGGCCCUAAACGAUGUCCACUAGGUCGGUGGUUCUCUGACGAAUUGCUGGCCGAAAUAAAAACGUUAAGUGGACCGCCUGGGGAGUACGGUCGCAAGGCUAAAACUCAAAGGAAUUGACGGGGGCUCACACAAGCGGUGGAGCAUGUUGCUCAAUUCGACAACGCGAAGAACCUUAUCCUGGGCUUGACAUGCACGGAUGCCUCUCCUGAAAGGGAAAAGGUUACCCUUCGGGGUGAAGCGUGCACAGGUGCUGCAUGGCUGUCGUCAGCUCGUGUCGUGAGAUGUCGGGUUAAGUCCCGUAACGAGCGAAACCCUUGUCGCUAAUUGCCAGCGGGUAAUGCCGGGAACUUUAGCGAGACUGCCGGUGUCAAACCGGAGGAAGGCGGGGAUGACGUCAAGUCCUCAUGGCCUUUAUGCCCAGGGCUGCAAACGUGCUACAAUGGCCGUGACAAACCGACGCAAGACCGCGAGGUGGAGCAAAUCGGAAAAAAACGGCCCCAGUUCGGAUUGGAGUCUGCAACCCGACUCCAUGAAGUUGGAAUCGCUAGUAAUCGCGGAUCAGCUACGCCGCGGUGAAUGUGUUCCUGAGCCUUGUACACACCGCCCGUCAAGUCAUGGGAGCCGGGAGCACCCGAAGUCG